GACGAACGCUGGCGGCGUGCCUAAUACAUGCCAGUUGAGCGAUGAAGAUUGGUGCUUGCACCAAUUUGAAGAGCAGCGAACGGGUGAGUAACGCGUGGGGAAUCUGCCUUUGAGCGGGGGACAACAUUUGGAAACGAAUGCUAAUACCGCAUAACAACUUUAAACAUAAGUUUUAAGUUUGAAAGAUGCAAUUGCAUCACUCAAAGAUGAUCCCGCGUUGUAUUAGCUAGUUGGUGAGGUAAAGGCUCACCAAGGCGAUGAUACAUAGCCGACCUGAGAGGGUGAUCGGCCACAUUGGGACUGAGACACGGCCCAAACUCCUACGGGAGGCAGCAGUAGGGAAUCUUCGGCAAUGGACGAAAGUCUGGCCGAGCAACGCCGCGUGAGUGAAGAAGGUUUUCGGAUCGUAAAACUCUGUUGGUAGAGAAGAACGUUGGUGAGAGUGGAGAGCUCAUCAAGUGACGGUAACUACACAGAAAGGGACGGCUAACUACGUG
rnacentral:rRNA from 1 species